rnacentral:rRNA from 1 species
GACGAACCGUGCGAACGUUGUUCGGAAUCACUGGGCUUAAAGGGCGCGUAGGCGGGCAGUCAAGUCAGAGGUGAAAGCCCACGGCUCAACCGUGGAAGUGCCCCUGAUACUGAUUGUCUCGAGGGAGGUAGGGGCGUGCGGAACUUCCGGUGGAGCGGUGAAAUGCGUAGAUAUCGGAAGGAACACCGGUGGCGAAAGCGGCGCGCUGGACCUCUACUGACGCUGGAGGCGCGGAAAGCCAGGGGAGCAAACGGG